CCUACGGGCGGCUGCAGUCGGGAAUAUUGCGCAAUGGAGGAAACUCUGACGCAGUGACGCCGCGUGCAGGAAGAAGGUUUUCGGAUUGUAAACUGCUUUAGACAGGGACGAAAAAAGACAGUAUCUGUAGAAUAAGCUCCGGCUAACUACGUGCCAGCAGCCGCGGUAAUACGUAGGGAGCAAGCGUUAUCCGGAUUUAUUGGGUGUAAAGGGUGCGUAGACGGAGAAGCAAGUUAGUUGUGAAAUCCCUGGGCUUAACUGAGGAACUGCAACUAAAACUACUUUCCUUGAGUACUGGAGAGGAAAGUGGAAUUCCUAGUGUAGCGGUGAAAUGCGUAGAUAUUAGGAGGAACACCAGUGGCGAAGGCGACUUUCUGGACAGUAACUGACGUUGAGGCACGAAAGUGUGGGGAGCAAACAGGAUUAGAUACCCGAGUAGUC
rnacentral:rRNA from 1 species